GGGAAAAUACUAAUUUAUUUUGGGACCUCUAUCAUUCUCUCUAAAGAAGGAAGCCACCUCCCCUCUGAUUCCCUCCAAUUGGUUGUGCCACUUCACUCUCUCCCGCCCAUAGGAAUUGAUCACCGGCUAUGGCAGGCGACUUCACUGCCUCCUCUCUUCCUCAUCCCUCUCUCUAUAUGGAAGUUGACCCGUCACCGGACUAGCCAGCCACUAGCGAACAUUAAUGUCAACAAACCUCGCUGAAAUGGUCGGAUUCAAUAGAUCUUGCCCCUGAAAUAGAACUACCCACCAUGAUCCUUCAUAUAUGUAGCUCUAUUUCAAAGUUUUGGUCGAUUUUUCCUGAGAUCUAGAUGGAAUUUACUAUUUUAACGACCCUAGAUUUGUUAUCUUCUUCUAUUUUUCUCGUCUCUCUUCGUUCCAAGUACACCAUUAAAGGGCUAGGCGUACUCAUUUGUUACUGGGUUUAGCCGGAAAAAUACAACUCCGAUGAACCAUGUAUUUGGCCCAUUGUUUCGGCGACCCUCUUUUAAACCUAACUCUAUUUCUCUCCACUUUGGGUAUUGAUUCGUUGCUCUUAAUGUUGUUCCAAUCUGUCGAUGUUUUGGCUUGCCGACAACAUGGCCGGAGGUAGCCGGAAUCGGCGAGUUAAUUCUUUAUCGCUUGGCGACUGACUUUAGUGACCCCGUCAUUCCUCUCUGGGUGAUGUAAAAAAGGCUCCUGUUCAGAGCUUGAAGAUCGCAACAAAUCGUCCAUGCAGUGAAUUGGGAGACAACCACAACAACUGUCUCACAAAUAGUAAGAGGGCAUCGAAGCAACUGUUUGAAGGAGCAAUUGGGGCACAUCUUCUGGAUGGAGUCAUAAUUCAACUUCAAAGAUAUCACAACCAAUCAUGGAUACAAUGAGGCAUCGCUCCGAGUUUAUCUAUACCCUUACAUUUUUCUAGAUAUCUUUAGUGGUGUCAAUAUUCAUUGUUUCAAAUAUGUCAAAAAGCCAAAAUAGGAGAGGAAAGACUUAUGUGAAUCAUACAUCUUAUACUCUCCAAUAUUCACGAACUACACAUGCCUGAUUCUUGACCUUGUGUAAAAAUACGUAGGCAACCUGUUAUGGGUCAAGUUUUCCUCGUCCUUAGCUGCACAAAUCAGUCAACUAUGGCCACUUGGGUCACAAUUGACCGAAGAUCCUUUUGAAAGGAUCAUUUCGAUGAGAUAUGUAGGCUUGAGCUGAUUCUCAUUUUGAAAGAUCAAGUCUAAACUACGCUUGAGCUAAUUCUCAUUUCGACGAGAUACGUAGGCAACCUUCGGGUUUGGUCUUGUUUUUCAAAAAAUCAAUAAAAUACUCCCACCGUGUGGAGAUUUUCUUUCA